rnacentral:rRNA from 5 species
AAUCCAUAGGUUAAUGAGGCGAACCGGGGGAACUGAAACAUCUAAGUACCCCGAGGAAAAGAAAUCAACCGAGAUUCCCCCAGUAGCGGCGAGCGAACGGGGAGGAGCCCAGAGCCUGAAUCAGCAUGUGUGUUAGUGGAAGCGUCUGGAAAGGCGCGCGAUACAGGGUGACAGCCCCGUACACAAAAGCGCAUGUGCUGUGAGCUCGAUGAGUAGGGCGGGACACGUGGUAUCCUGUCUGAAUAUGGGGGGACCAUCCUCCAAGGCUAAAUACUCCUGACUGACCGAUAGUGAACCAGUACCGUGAGGGAAAGGCGAAAAGAACCCCGGCGAGGGGAGUGAAAAAGAACCUGAAACCGUGUACGUACAAGCAGUGGGAGCACCCUUUGGGUGUGACUGCGUACCUUUUGUAUAAUGGGUCAGCGAC